rnacentral:rRNA from 1 species
GGAUGAACGCUGGCGGCGUGCCUACUCCAUGCAAGUCGAGCGAACAGACGAGGAGCUUGCUCCUCUGACGUUAGCGGCGGACGGGUGAGUAACACGUGGAUAACCUACCUAUAAGACUGGGAUAACUUCGGGAAACCGGAGCUAAUACCGGAUAAUAUAUUGAACCGCAUGGUUCAAUAGUGAAAGACGGUUUUGCUGUCACUUAUAGAUGGAUCCGCGCCGCAUUAGCUAGUUGGUAAGGUAACGGCUUACCAAGGCAACGAUGCGUAGCCGACCUGAGAGGGUGAUCGGCCACACUGGAACUGAGACACGGUCCAGACUCCUACGGGAGGCAGCAGUAGGGAAUCUUCCGCAAUGGGCGAAAGCCUGACGGAGCAACGCCGCGUGAAUGAUGAAGGUCUUCGGAUCGUAAAACUCUGUUAUUAGGGAAGAACAAAUGUGUAAGUAACUAUGCACGUCUUGACGGUACCUAAUCAGAAAGCCACGGCUAACUACGUG